GUGUAAGCGCAGCGAUGCGUUGAGCUAACCGAUACUAAUGAACCGUGAGGCUUAACCUUACAACGCCGAAGGUGUUUC
rnacentral:rRNA from 1 species